rnacentral:rRNA from 1 species
GACGAACGCUGGCGGCGUGCUUAACACAUGCAAGUCGAACGGUGAAGGGACCGGUUUUUGCUGGUUCUGGAUGAGUGGCGAACGGGUGAGUAACACGUGAGUAACCUGCCCCCUUCUUCUGGAUAACCGCAUGAAAGUGUGGCUAAUACGGGAUAUUCUGCGCCUGCUGCAUGGUGGGUGUGGGAAAGAUAUUGUUUCGGUGGGGGAUGGGCUCGCGGCCUAUCAGCUCGUUGGUGGGGUGAUGGCCUACCAAGGCGGUGACGGGUAGCCGGCCUGAGAGGGUGGACGGUCACACUGGGACUGAGACACGGCCCAGACUCCUACGGGAGGCAGCAGUGGGGAAUAUUGCACAAUGGGCGCAAGCCUGAUGCAGCGACGCCGCGUGAGGGAUGGAGGCCUUCGGGUUGUAAACCUCUUUCGCCAGUGAAGCAGGCCUGUCCCUUUUGUGGGUGGGUUGACGGUAGCUGGAUAAGAAGCGCCGGCUAACUACGUG